rnacentral:rRNA from 1 species
AGCGGGGGAUAACUAUUGGAAACGAUAGCUAAUACCGCAUAAGAGUAAUUAACACAUGUUAGUUAUUUAAAAGGAGCAAUUGCUUCACUGUGAGAUGGACCUGCGUUGUAUUAGCUAGUUGGUGAGGUAAAGGCUCACCAAGGCGACGAUACAUAGCCGACCUGAGAGGGUGAUCGGCCACACUGGGACUGAGACACGGCCCAGACUCCUACGGGAGGCAGCAGUAGGGAAUCUUCGGCAAUGGACGGAAGUCUGACCGAGCAACGCCGCGUGAGUGAAGAAGGUUUUCGGAUCGUAAAGCUCUGUUGUUAGAGAAGAACGUUGGUAGGAGUGGAAAAUCUACCAAGUGACGGUAACUAACCAGAAAGGGACGGCUAACUACGUGCCAGCAGCCGCGGUAAUACGUAGGUCCCGAGCGUUGUCCGGAUUUAUUGGGCGUAAAGCGAGCGCAGGCGGUUCUUUAAGUCUGAAGUUAAAGGCAGUGGCUUAACCAUUGUACGCUUUGGAAACUGGAGGACUUGAGUGCAGAAGGGGAGAGUGGAAUUCCAUGUGUAGCGGUGAAAUGCGUA